rnacentral:rRNA from 1 species
UACGUAGGGACCGAGCGUUGUCCGGAAUCAUUGGGCGUAAAGAGCGUGUAGGCGGCUAUUUAAGUCCUGCGUGAAAUCCUGCGGCUCAACCGCAGACGGUCGUGGGAAACUGGAUGGCUAGAGUGCGGGAGAGGAGAGUGGAAUUCCCGGUGUAGCGGUGAAAUGCGCAGAUAUCGGGAAGAACACCCGUGGCGAAGGCGGCUCUCUGGAACGCAACUGACGCUGAGACGCGAGAGCGUGGGGAGCAAACAGG